rnacentral:rRNA from 1 species
UACGUAGGGUGCAAGCGUUGUCCGGAAUUAUUGGGCGUAAAGAGCUCGUAGGCGGCUUGUCGCGUCGGCUGUGAAAACCUGGGGCUCAACCCGGGCCUGCAGCCGAUACGGGCAAGCUAGAAUUCGGUAGGGGAGACUGGAAUUCCUGGUGUAGCGGUGAAAUGCGCAGAUAUCAGGAGGAACACCGGUGGCGAAGGCGGGCCUCUGGGCCGAAAUUGACGCUGAGGAGCGAAAGCGUCGGGGAGCGAACAGG